AGGAAAAGAAACCAACAGGGAUUGCCUCAGUAACGGCGAGUGCAGCGGCAAAAGCUCAAAUUUGAAAUCCCCCGGGAAUUGUAAUUUGAAGAGAUUUGGGUCCGGCCGGCGGGGGUUAAGUCCACUGGAAAGUGGCGCCACAGAGGGUGACAGCCCCGUGAACCCCUUUAACGCCCUCAUCCCAGAUCUCCAAGAGUCGAGUUGUUUGGGAAUGCAGCUCUAAGUGGGUGGUAAAUUCCAUCUAAAGCUAAAUACCGGCGAGAGACCGAUAGCGAACAAGUACAGUGAUGGAAAGAUGAAAAGCACUUUGAAAAGAGAGUGAAAAAGUACGUGAAAUUGUUGAAAGGGAAGGGCUUGCAAGCAGACACUUAACUGGGCCAGCAUCGGGGCGGCGGGGAGCAAAACCACCGGGGAAUGUACCUUUCGAGGAUUAUAACCCCGGUCCUUACUCCCUUACUGCCCCGAGGCCUGCAAUCUAAGGA
rnacentral:rRNA from 2 species